rnacentral:rRNA from 1 species
UACGUAGGGGGCAAGCGUUGUCCGGAAUCAUUGGGCGUAAAGCGCGUGUAGGCGGUUCGAUAAGUCUGCUGUGAAAGUCCAGGGCUCAACCCUGGAAAGCCGGUGGAUACUGUCGGACUAGAGUACGGAAGAGGCGAGUGGAAUUCCCGGUGUAGCGGUGAAAUGCGCAGAUAUCGGGAGGAACACCAAUGGCGAAGGCAGCUCACUGGGACGGUAUUGACGCUGAGACGCGAAAGCGUGGGGAGCAAACAGG